GCCCCCUGUGGGGUGUGGUCCUAUCCGGGGGCAGCAACACUCACUGCACACGCUCUCCGUCCUGUGCUCCGAAGACGCACGGACGGAUGGGCGGGCAGUGCGUGUCGAUGUCACGCCUCCAUCACCUGACACGGAACUAGGUCUCCGUGCGGUGUAUUGGUAUACCAUCCACGAGGGGUUACAGGAGUCAAACGGCGCCGCAUCAUUGGGCGGUUACCCCGCACCAAUGCAGACGCCUCCCUUCUCCUCCCCCUCGUAUGCGUGUCUCUGGGCGGGUAACAUUGGGGGGGUGGUCCCUAUAAGAGGGUGUAACCUAUGGCAGGUACAGGCAUUUGGCUCUUCACAUGUCAUCACUCCAUGCAGCACACUCGGAACUCACAGCCAUCAUUCCUUACCGACCACAGUGCAUUCAAUACACUAUGCCUCAUGCCUGUGCCACCUGGGUGCGCUCUCCUGACGGGCCCUGCACCCCUCAUUCUCCAGCCCUAGUCCCCGGCAGUGACCACCCCAAUCCUGGGGUCCAUCCGGAGCUUCACUCUAGUGCCGGCGGCAAUCGGCAACCUGAUAACCAAUGUAAUGCAUGCCUGCUCCUGAUGAGCGACCA